rnacentral:lncRNA from 1 species
AUAUUAGGAUCAUAUGACUCGAUGGGGAGGCGUUUUCCUGGAUCAGAUACAAGAUCAUCCAAAUUGAAUUGAGCCCGAGACUUCUUUGUGCUGUUGAACAACUCGAGUGCUCGGCUAGAAGCAGUGGCGAAACUAUAAGCACAACUAGAACUAGGAGAACUAGGUAUAGACUUUCGUUUCGGUUGAAAAAAUCGUUCCAUGAUCUGUAAAAUGCCCCAAUUUAAUUUUCAAUUACAAUUGAUUAAAAAAUCAUCAAUUCAACAAAAAAAUCCCCAAGAGUGAGAUAGCAAUGUAUUAAAAAAAUCAAGCAAAGUUGCUACAUCUAUAGUUGGUACUUGGUAGGUUGGCCAUUUAUGUCGAUUUGAAUACUCAAACAAGUUAAAAACAAAUAAAUGCUUAAGUAUUAAAAGCAACAAAAUUAAUAUUUAUUAGAUACGACACAAAUGAAAGACUACCAAUUUUUCGCCCAUCUUAAUACCAAAUACUAAAAUUCUGUGAAAUAGUCCAAAUUCAAUUUCAGAAAUUAGGUUGAUUGUCCUUUUUGUCAAUGUUGGGAAUACAUUUUUGAUGCCUUCUUCAAUGAAUUUUAACACUUGAAAGUGAUCAAAAUACCCUUAACAUGAUAGGACUACGACGGGCUAUAGCAGCAGUGGUAAAUCUAAUAACAUUCUAAGCUAAAUGCCUAAAUCAAUUUACCCAAUCUUGUUCAUGUGCAUGUCAUUUCCAUCCAUGUACUACUCCAGUACUUAGUUCUCACAAUCAUCUAGGUAGAUCACCAAUUUCAUUAAAUCUUCAGAAGCUUACAAUAUUUUUCAUCUAGCAAAUCAGAAAAUGAAACUAAGUACUAUGUGUGAAUAUCUGAUAAAAUAAGGUUAAUGAAGUCUCUGUUGUCUAUACUAUACGUUAAAUUGCUGGGGGAAAAAUACCUAAGGCACUUGGAGGGAAGUUUUAUUAGAAGAAAAGAACAAAAUCAAAACAAAGGUGAAAUGUUAACCUAUAGCUAACAUAACUUAUUUUUUUGAAGCCAGUAGCUAUAGCCUAUAAGCACAGAAAAGAGCCCAACGUUACACAUAAACAAAUAUAGAAUAUACUUUCCUCAACAUAAUCCAUAUCAGUUAUGAGAUAAAUUUUGAAAAUACAAAAAAGUGUAAACCUUCAAUAGUCAUUCAAAAUGCAGGCAGCCAAUAGCCAUCAAGAAAACAAACAAUAAAGUCUAACACUAAAAUCUCAGAGGAUAAACGAAAAGGGAUGGAAAGUUGCAGAUAGCACAAUUUAUUUAUUUAGAAACGAUAAUAAAAAUGGGAAAUAACUAAAAGAAUCUUGCAUUCUUGCUACGGAGUGCGGGCUACCUGCUGCACUGGAGUGCUGCUCGCCUGCUCCUCUCGACUC